rnacentral:piRNA from 1 species
GGAAACUCAUACGCAGCCAGCCGGGA